rnacentral:rRNA from 1 species
UACAGAGGUCUCAAGCGUUGUUCGGAUUUACUGGGCGUAAAGGGCGCGUAGGCGGCUUGACAAGUCACUUGUGAAAUCUCCGGGCUUAACUCGGAACGGCCAAGUGAAACUGUCAUGCUAGAGUGCAGAAGGGGCAAUCGGAAUUCUUGGUGUAGCGGUGAAAUGCGUAGAUAUCAAGAGGAACACCUGAGGUGAAGACGGGUUGCUGGGCUGACACUGACGCUGAGGCGCGAAAGCCAGGGGAGCAAACGGG